AUUUCUCCUGGGGCUGCUGCAAAUCCCACUAAGUGUAAUCUUUGCUGGAUAAUAAAAAGGUUGUCACUUUAAGCAAAAAUUACUAAAGGGCUGGCUGGGGCACCAGCAUCAGAGCUGCUCGACUCUGGAAGGCUAAGAGCAGUGGUUCUCAAACUCUGUGCCUGUGGAACACUCGGGUUCUGUGAGCCACCACAGAAGGAGUGAGAGGUGAUCUUUCCUAAUUACUGGAAAGGGAUGACUUACAACCACACGAUGUAAAACGUGUGAGAUCUGCAUGUGUCAGCAAAUGUGGAAUGAUAGUUAAGAGAAAUGAAGUGUGAAAAUGUACAGAAGAUUUAGUACAAUUUGUUGUAUUUCGGGUAAAAAAAAGAGAGGAUCUAUGAAUGUGCAUCUUUAUUAUGUAUAUGCAUUAAAAUUUCUGGAAGGAUCCAUAAGAAACUUCAUGGUUACUUCUGGGGGUGCUGGGACUGGAGGAGUUCAGGGAGGGAGAGAAAAACGUACGUCUCAUCAGGUAUUCCUUUGUGUUCCGAAAAAAAUUUUUUUACCACGUGUUAUUCCCAAGAUUUUUAAUAUGCAAAGGUAUUAAGUUAAUGAAUAGAACAGUACCUCUUUAAAUAUUUCAUACCCUAACACUUCUUAAAACCCUUGCCACCAGCUACUCAAUAAUGAAUAUUAAUGCAAAAACUUGGAAACAGCUGAUCAUGCUCUUUUGACAGCUUGUAUAUUCACGGGCACACAUUUGUUUGUGGUUGUGAUCAGAAUAUAAACAUAGAAUCUGGCCCUCCUUACAGAACGGACUUGAGUUUAACCAAUGCUGAGGUUUCCUGCACAGAGUCCCACACUCUCCAGGAGGCUCAGCACCUGAGGCCAUUUGGGACCCACAGGCUGAGUGGAUGGCACAGUUCCAAGGGCCUGCCGGGGAGGGCGAAGUCAGGACUGUAGCUGUUUUAGCCAGAAGAGUACCAGUGAUCUGUGCAAGAGCCCCAGUGAUCUGUGCACCACUGCUGGGGACCUGACCUGGUCCAGGCUAUGUGACAGGAAAGAAAGUUGAGGGGUUGAUGCUGUGGAAGACGGACGAGAAGGCACUGCUCGAGAAACGUGGGGAGGACAGGGGAAAGCUCAUGCUCACGGGCCGCUCUGUAACCAAGACAAGCCAUGGAGGAAUGGAGGACUGCUUUUGUUCUGAGCCUCCCCAGAAAAGUGGUUUCAGGCACCAACCACGGGCCGGCGAGAAGCCACGUGGGCCACCUGGAAGAACGGAGAUGGUGUCCCCAGGUUACCUCUCAUCAUGCCUGGGACAUCCCCGCCCCUCUUCUUCAGCUCCCCAUAGCAGCCAUCACAGACCUUGGCCAUCCGGUCCUUGAGGCGACUGCAUCAAAGAACCAGGUAGCACUGUGGAGUACUACGUAGCAACCAAAAGGAACUGAUGGUACACACGACAGCAUGGGUGAAUUUCGAAGACAUGCCAAGUGAAAGAAGCCAGACACAGAGGAGGAUACACUGCUUCAUAACAUUUAUAUGAAGUACCAGAUGAGGCAAAGCUAACCUGUAGUGAUGGAAAUUAGGCCAGUGGUUGCCCGAACAGGGGGUGGAGGAAGUGAGUGCUAAGAGGCACAGGUGAACAUUCAAGAAAUAUUCUGUAUCUUGGGGUGCCUGGAUGGCUCAGUCGGUUAAGCGCCGACUUUGGCUCGGGUCGUGAUCUCACGGUUCGUGGGUUCAAGCCCCACAUUGGGCUCUGUGCUGUCAGCUCAGAGCCUGGAGCCUGCUUGGGAUUCUGUGUCUCCCUCUCUCUCUGCCCCUCCCCAGCUCACACUCUGUUUCUCUCUCCUUCAAAAAUAAAUAAACAUUAAAAAAAAAAAAAGAAA